GUUACCAGCUUUGCAUGUGACCCCCGCCCCCAGAGGCCGAGGGGAAUGUGGUUCAGAUGCCGUCGCUGUUCCUCUGGUGGAAGCUCCAGAAGGAAGCUGGUUUGUCACAGAGAUCAGUAGUUCUUAAACUAUCUUUCAUGGAAUACCAAUGUUCUCCAAGCAGUCUGAAUGGGUUCACAUCUUCUGGGCAAGUCCCCUCUUUCAUUCUGGGGCAUGAUCCUCAGAGAAAUGAGAGGGAGACUCUAACGUGAAAACCCUGGGGACCAUGAAUAGAGAGGAGGUGUUGGGAGGACUCUCUCAGGUAUCACGUUGAACAGUUGGAGGAACGAAACCAUCACUGGACUUUUGAGAUGAAUGUUCAUGGAAAAUAGGAGCUUUUAAAUGAAGAGGGCUGGAAACUUUUACUACUCCGUCCUUUAACGUGUCCUUUGUGAAAGUGGAUUUUCGGUCUUUGCUCCAACCAAGACCAAGUACUGAAACAGAUGAGGGUUACGCCAACUCCUAAGACUUCCUUGAACAAAUCUCAUUCCAGACUUUGAUGCAAUAUGCCAUCUAUCAAGCUCACACCUCCGAUUCAGAUUUAUAAUCAUUGUAUUACAUGUAAGGGGAAAUAAAGAGUAUUAUUUAAGCACA